UUGGGCGUAAAGCGCUCGUAGGCGGUCUGUUAGGUCGGGAGUUAAAUCCGGGGGCUCAACCCCCGUUCGCUCCCGAUACCGGCAGACUUGAGUUUGGUAGGGGAAGGUGGAAUUCCUAGUGUAGCGGUGGAAUGCGCAGAUAUUAGGAAGAACACCAGUGGCGAAGGCGGCCUUCUGGGCCAUAACUGACGCUGAGGAGCGAAAGCUAGGGGAGCAAACAGGAUUAGAUACCCUGGUAGUCCUAGCCGUAAACGAUGGACACUAGGUGUGGGGGAAUAUUUCUUCCGUGCCGCAGCUAACGCAUUAAGUGUCCCGCCUGGGGAGUACGGCCGCAAGGCUAAAACUCAAAGGAAUUGACGGGGGCCCGCACAAGCAGCGGAGCAUGUGGUUUAAUUCGAAGCAACGCGAAGAACCUUACCAGGGCUUGACAUUUAGGUGAAGCGGCGGAAACGUCGUGGCCGAAAGGAGCCUAAACAGGUGGUGCAUGGCUGUCGUCAGCUCGUGUCGUGAG
rnacentral:rRNA from 1 species